UGGGGAAUCUUGCACAAUGGGCGAAAGCCUGAUGCAGCGACGCCGCGUGCGGGAUGAAGGCCUUCGGGUUGUAAACCGCUUUCAGCAGGGACGAGGCCGCAAGGUGACGGUACCUGCAGAAGAAGCCCCGGCUAACUACGUGCCAGCAGCCGCGGUAAUACGUAGGGGGCAAGCGUUAUCCGGAUUCAUUGGGCGUAAAGCGCGCGUAGGCGGUCUGUUAGGUCAGGAGUCAAAUCUGGGGGCUCAACCCCUAUCCGCUCCUGAUACCGGCAGGCUUGAGUCUGGUAGGGGAAGGCGGAAUUCCAAGUGUAGCGGUGAAAUGCGCAGAUAUUUGGAAGAACACCGGUGGCGAAGGCGGCCUUCUGGGCCACGACUGACGCUGAGGCGCGAAAGCUAGGGGAGCGAACAGG
rnacentral:rRNA from 1 species